rnacentral:rRNA from 1 species
AUGCAUGUGCAACAGUACGAUGUAACCCAUUCCUUUUUUCAGAGGCGAGCAUGUGUGUGCAAUGACAGAGUGAGGGAGAUUACGUGGGGUAUGCAGAAUCUCAUGCCACUUUUAAUCCCUCAAGAACAAUCUGUGUUCACAAAGGCGGACCGGCUCCCCAUAUGCAAAGGAUUGGAUAUGCUCUUACCUCGACACGGCAUAAAUAAUGUCAAGCAAGAGUGGAUUAAUGAAGAUAUUCUUCAGCUGGCUCUCAAGGUGUAUCAUGUUGAUUUACGUGAAAAUGAACAUUCAAAGUUCUUGCGCAGAAGUCUUGGUCUUGAAAAGCAUCUGAAGGCCAUUUCUGGAUUUGAUGCAAAGGAUUGGGAUUUAGUCAAACUUGCAACAGCGUUGAAGACAAUGGUCGAUCCUGAUGAUACACGUCUUCCAAUUGCCAAAGCUUUCGAGGUGAAUCUUACUUUCUUCUCUGCAAAAUUUUAG